AGUGAACGCUGGCGGUAGGCCUAACACAUGCAAGUCGAACGGCAGCACAGUAAGAGCUUGCUCUUACGGGUGGCGAGUGGCGGACGGGUGAGGAAUACAUCGGAAUCUACUUUUUCGUGGGGGAUAACGUAGGGAAACUUACGCUAAUACCGCAUACUACCUACGGGUGAAAGCAGGGGAUCUUCGGACCUUGCGCGAUUGAAUGAGCCGAUGUCGGAUUAGCUAGUUGGCGGGGUAAAGGCCCACCAAGGCGACGAUCCGUAGCUGGUCUGAGAGGAUGAUCAGCCACACUGGAACUGAGACACGGUCCAGACUCCUACGGGAGGCAGCAGUGGGGAAUAUUGGACAAUGGGCGCAAGCCUGAUCCAGCCAUACCGCGUGGGUGAAGAAGGCCUUCGGGUUGUAAAGCCCUGUUGUUGGGAAAGAAAAGCAGCAGGUUAAUACCCCGCUGUUCUGACGGUACCCAAAGAAUAAGCACCGGCUAACUUCGUG
rnacentral:rRNA from 1 species